GACGAACGCUGGCGGCGUGCCUAAUACAUGCAAGUAGAACGCUGAAGGAGGAGCUUGCUCUUCUGGAUGAGUUGCGAACGGGUGAGUAACGCGUAGGUAACCUGCCUGGUAGCGGGGGAUAACUAUUGGAAACGAUAGCUAAUACCGCAUAACAGUAGAUGUUGCAUGACAUUUACUUAAAAGGUGCAAUUGCAUCACUACCAGAUGGACCUGCGUUGUAUUAGCUAGUUGGUGGGGUAACGGCUCACCAAGGCGACGAUACAUAGCCGACCUGAGAGGGGGAUCGGCCACACUGGGACUUGGACACGGCCCAGACUCCUACGGGAGGCAGCAGUAGGGAAUCUUCGGCAAUGGACGGAAGUCUGACCGAGCAACGCCGCGUGAGUGAAGAAGGUUUUCGGAUCGUAAAGCUCUGUUGUAAGAGAAGAACGAGUGUGAGAGUGGAAAGUUCACACUGUGACGGUAUCUUACCAGAAAGGGACGGCUAACUACGUG
rnacentral:rRNA from 1 species